CUUUAAUGCCAAAUUAAAAAAGAGAGAAAAGGAGAGAAUAUCUAUUAAAUCAGAAGAACAAAAAAAAUUCUACACAACUGAUUGUUUAAACAAGAAACUUGGAUUAAAAGUUGAGAUCAUUUGAUAGAACCAAACCUGUGGCUUCCCCUGCCAGCU